UUUUUAACAUGAGGCUAAAUACAUACACAGGGCAUACUACUUUUUGUUCUCUCUACAUUGCGUACCUCAUCUAAAUUCAUACAAAAUACCAUGGGAAAGAACCAAAGAACUGUUUGUUCAUUACUGUGACCAAAGUAUAAACAGGAAAUGGGGUACCUACCAGUGCACUCGAUGAAAGGAAGAAGGUUGUUAACAGAAACUGAACACAGGCAAUCACUUCAUAGCUUCAUAAAUGCCAAGGUCACAGUGUAAGCCACUACAUCUCACCAACUUCAAUUAUUACCAUCAUUUCUACAAGGCCACAACUCAUGAUAGAUGGAUUAAAGUAGGCUAGAGACAAAAUCUAACAGAAUAAAGGGGCAAGUGUCUGCAGUACCAGUUCAUCCUCAUCAUCUAUCUUCAGAAGGAAAAAGCUGGAAUCCUGGCAGAACUAACAGAUCUUCUUUGCAACAUGGUGAUUGAGUGACUUCCCUGCAUUCAACUCAACUGCAAUGUCUGCUGAUUGCUACAUUUGGUACCACAGCUAUUUUACUGUGAAAAAUAAUUUUAAAAGUUGAAUAGAAAAUAGAACAAAGAAGAGGUGAUACAUACCUACAAACUCAUCAUUUGGGAGUAAAUUACGAGGUGAUAAGAUUUUGGAAUUCAGAAUGACUAGGAUUACAAACCAGGCAGGCCGAAACUAACUUUGGAACAAGAACCUCAUCAA
rnacentral:lncRNA from 1 species